rnacentral:rRNA from 1 species
GUGUCAGCCGCCGCGGUAAUACGGAGGGGGCGAGCGUUGUUCGGAAUCACUGGGUGUAAAGGGUGCGUAGGCGGUCCGUUAAGUCUGAUGUGAAAGCCCUGGGCUCAACUCAGGAAUGGCAUUGGAAACUGGCGGGCUAGAAUACCGGAGAGGGAAGCGGAAUUCCUGGUGUAGCGGUGAAAUGCGUAGAUACCAGGAGGAACACCGGUGGCGAAGGCGGCUUCCUGGACGAGUAUUGACGCUGAGGCACGAAAGCGUGGGGAGCAAACGGGAUUAGAAACCCGAGUAGUCC